ACUACUAAAUCUCCAUAGAGUUGAGACAUGUUCAGGACAUAAGAGUCACUAGCUUCUCACUUUAGUGUCUCUACUGGGUGGAGUAGGAAGGGCCCUUCUAUCCAGACUGAUGCCCACUGAUCCUUGAAUUUAUUUUUUUCAAUCUCCUUAUUCCUCCCUAAGUACAACCUUCUAUCCUUUCUUUUUUCCCUCCUUCCCUUUCUUUCCUCAUUUCCUUCUUAUCCUUCCUUCACAUCUCCAGAUCCAUAACCUUCCUCAUCCUUUCUUUGUCCAGGAAUAUCCUGUCUCCCUCAACCAUCUAAGAAUUCCAGAGUCAUCAGAGGGCUGGAGCUUCAAAGAAUGAUCAUUGCUGAUGACACCAUACCUCUUUUCACUUGAGACAUCUCAUUAAGAUUUGCUUGCUAAUCAGAGAAAAACCUGAAUUGGGAACAAGGAUAUAAGCAAGACCAUCCUGAUUUCCAAAAGAAUACAGACUAUAAUUGUCCACCCUUCAAAAGACUUAUAGUCAUUAUACUUGGUGCCUAUACAAAGGGCAAAGGAGCCACCUGAAGCUGAGUUCAGCCCUCAUGGAUUCCUUUGGAACCCCAGGAAAACAAGAAGAAGGAAAGGGGAAGGGAAAUUCCAGGGCAAUGUGUUUAUUUUAGGCCCCUAUCUUUGUUCCACUUAGGUCUGCUGCCUGACUUCCUAGAGGCUCAUCCAUAAACUGUUUUUUUUAAAAUAACUUUUUAUUGACAGAACCCAUGCAAGGGUAAUUUUUUACAACAUUAUCCCUUGCACUCACUUCUGUUCCUAUUUUUCCCCUCCCUCCCUCCACCCCCUCCCCCAGAUGGCAAGCAAUACAUGUUAAAUGGGUUACAGUGUAUCCAAAAUACAAUAUAUGUGUGCAGAACGGAACAGUUUUCUUGUUGCACAGAGAGAACUGGAUUCAGAAGGUAGAAAUAACCCGGGAAGAAAAACAAAAAUGCAAACAGUUUA